rnacentral:rRNA from 1 species
AAUCAACGCUGGCGGCGUGCCUCAGACAUGCAAGUCGAACGAUUAAAGCUCUCUUCGGAGAGUGCAUAGAGUGGCGCACGGGUGAGUAACACGUAAGUAAUCUACCUUCGAGUGGGGAAUAACGUCCGGAAACGGACGCUAAUACCGCAUAAUGCAGCGGCAUCGCAAGAUGACAGUUGUUAAAGAUUUAUCGCUUGAAGAGGAGCUUGCGGCAGAUUAGCCAGUUGGUAAGGUAAUGGCUUACCAAGGCUACGAUCUGUAACCGGUCUUAGAGGACGGUCGGUCACACUGACACUGAAUAACGGGUCAGACUCCUACGGGAGGCAGCAGUCGGGAAUUUUGGGCAAUGGGCGAAAGCCUGACCCAGCAACGCCGCGUGAAGGAUGAAGUAUUUCGGUAUGUAAACUUCGAGAGAAUGGGAAGAAUCAAUGACGGUACCAUUUAUAAGGUCCGGCUAACUACGUGCCAGCCGCCGCAGUAAGAC